ACUCCUACGGAGGGCAGGCAGCAGUAGGGAAUCUUCCGCAAUGGGCGAAAGCCUGACGGAGCAACGCCGCGUGAGUGAUGAAGGUCUUCGGAUCGUAAAACUCUGUUAUUAGGGAAGAACGAACGUGUAAGUAACUGUGCACGUCUUGACGGUACCUAAUCAGAAAGCCACGGCUAACUACGUGCCAGCAGCCGCGGUAAU
rnacentral:rRNA from 1 species